UCAUAUCUUAACUAACGUAUAUGCAGUAAUGCAUUGCAUUUUUCACUAACAAAAUCAUAUUUGAUUUUUCAUGAACUCACACAAUAGCAGUCAGUAACAUGAACAUAUACAAAGGUGAUUUUGUAGUGAAAAAAUAUAUAUUAAGAUUAGUAGAUCGUCUUGUUCCACUCGCUGGAACUGGUUAUCUCGCAUUGCAACUUGAACAAUACUCAACUUGAACAAUACUCCACUUGCAAGCUCUCAAGUAACCUGCAGGAUUUAACAGAUUAGACAGAUUAGAGAUGAGAAAUGCUAAGUUGUUUGAACUAAACUAACCAGUUUUAUCAGAAGAAUCAAAUAAAGGGAGAGAGUGAGAAACUAAAUGAGGGUGAACAUAUAGCAAUGAUUAAUAGACCCAAGUUUUGAAACUUAUAACUUGGGCUUGAUAUGUCAUGCUAACUUUGCUUUUGCAUCUAUAGACACAUCUCUCCUGAGUGGUGUUAACUCAAACCACCAAGACCAAUGUGGAUGCUUUAUGUGUAUAUUUGAAAAGCAGCAGCAGCGAUGUUUGUUUCAAGCUCUACUUAAAAUUUAAGAAUAAAGAUUCCACCUUUAUGAACUCUUUGAUAAAUACAGAGAAAAUACCUCAAACUCUCAAGACUAAAAUUAGGAGAAAGAUUCACAACUCAUGAAUCACGGCCAAGCUUUAGACACAUAUUCAGUUAGUUGUUCCAAAGUCCGAAAGCUUUCUUCUUCUUUUUCUUCGACGG
rnacentral:lncRNA from 1 species